GACGGAGGAGGCUAGCGUUGUUCGGAAUUACUGGGCGUAAAGCGUGCGCAGGUUGUGAGUUAAGUCUGAUGUGAAAGCCCGGGGCUCAACCUCGGAUGUGCAUUAGAUACUGGCUCGCUGGAGGUUGGAAGAGGAGAGUGGAAUUCCCAGUGUAGAGGUGAAAUUCGUAGAUAUUGGGAAGAACACCAGUGGCGAAGGCGGCUCUCUGGUCCACACCUGACACUCAUGCACGAAAGCGUGGGGAGCAAACAGGAUUAGAUACCCUGGUAGUCCACGCCGUAAACGAUGUGUGCUAGACGUCGGGAGGCUUGCCUCUCGGUGUCGCAGCUAACGCGAUAAGCACACCGCCUGGGGAGUACGGCCGCAAGGUUAAA
rnacentral:rRNA from 1 species